UUUGCUGCCCCCAUCCCCCUGUCACCUACAUUAGGUAUUUCUUCUAAUGUUAUCUCUCCCCUAUGUCCCCACCACCUGCCAUCCCUCCCUUAGCCCUCAACCCCCUAAAACACCCCAGUGUAUGACAUUCUUCUCCCUCUGUCCAUGUGCUCUCAUUGUUCAACACCCACUUAUGAGUGAGAACAUGGCCAUAAUGGGUUUUC